UAGGGAAUCUUCGGCAAUGGACGGAAGUCUGACCGAGCAACGCCGCGUGAGUGAAGAAGGUUUUCGGAUCGUAAAGCUCUGUUGUUAGAGAAGAACGUUGGUAGGAGUGGAAAAUCUACCAAGUGACGGUAACUAACCAGAAAGGGACGGCUAACUACGUGCCAGCAGCCGCGGUAAUACGUAGGUCCCGAGCGUUGUCCGGAUUUAUUGGGCGUAAAGCGAGCGCAGGCGGUUCUUUAAGUCUGAAGUUAAAGGCAGUGGCUUAACCAUUGUACGCUUUGGAAACGGGAGGACUUGAGUGCAGAAGGGGAGAGUGGAAUUCCAUGUGUAGCGGUGAAAUGCGUAGAUAUAUGGAGGAACACCGGUGGCGAAAGCGGCUCUCUGGGCUGUAACUGACGCUGAGGCUCGAAAGCGUGGGGAGCAAACAGG
rnacentral:rRNA from 1 species